rnacentral:tRNA from 1 species
GGGGCUGUAGUGAAGAGGGAUCACGGCACAAUGGCAUUGUGCAGUCACGAGUUCGAUUCUCGUCAGCUCCACCA